rnacentral:rRNA from 1 species
UUCUGGCGGGUCGAUUUGCCAUGCUAGUUGCACGAGUUCAUACUCGUGGCGAAAAGCUCAGUAACACGUGGCCAAACUACCCUACAGAGAACGAUAACCUCGGGAAACUGAGGCUAAUAGUUCAUACGGGAGUCAUGCUGGAAUGCCGACUCCCCGAAACGCUCAGGCGCUGUAGGAUGUGGCUGCGGCCGAUUAGGUAGACGGUGGGGUAACGGCCCACCGUGCCGAUAAUCGGUACGGGUUGUGAGAGCAAGAGCCCGGAGACGGAAUCUGAGACAAGAUUCCGGGCCCUACGGGGCGCAGCAGGCGCGAAACCUUUACACUGCACGCAAGUGCGAUAAGGGGACCCCAAGUGCGAGGGCAUAUAGUCCUCGCUUUUCACGACUGUAAGGCGGUCGUGGAAUAAGAGCUGGGCAAGACCGGUGCCAGCCGCCGCGGUAAUACCGGCAGCUCAAGUGAUGACCGAUAUUAUUGGGCCUAAAGCGUCCGUAGCCGGCCACGAAGGUUCAUCGGGAAAUCCGCCAGCUCAACUGGCGGGCGUCCGGUGAAAACCACGUGGCUUGGGACCGGAAGGCUCGAGGGGUACGUCCGGGGUAGGAGUGAAAUCCCGUAAUCCUGGACGGACCACCGAUGGCGAAAGCACCUCGAGAAGACGGAUCCGACGGUGAGGGACGAAAGCUAGGGUCUCGAACCGGAUUAGAUACCCGGGUAGUCCUAGCUGUAAACGAUGCUCGCUAGUGUGGCACAGCUACGAGCCUGUGCUGUGACGUAGCAGACAAGAAGCGAGCCGCCUAGUAGUACGUCGCAGAUGAACUGAAUGAUGGCGGGCGAGCACUACGACGGACGAGCUGCGUGAUCGAUCCCCAGCGCACGGGAAAA